CAGCCUCUGAAUCACUAAUUAUCUGGCUCUUUCCAACAGAGCAAUGGAGAUGCACGGAUUGCCAGAAAAGAUCAAACCAGAGCACUUCAGUGUGGAGCAGGGAGCCUCCUUGAUUAUACUCAGGCUGUGAGUUCCUGAUUGACCCUCAUAAAGGGCUGGGAUGUAGGCCGCCUUGCCUAGUAAUCAAAGCAGGAGUCCAGGCUGGGAACAAAGCCAACAGUCAGCACCAGAAUCAACUGCCAAUUACCAGCACCAGGGGUCAAGCCAGAAUAAAAACCAGGAAUCGAAGCUGAGGGUCAAGGCCAAGAUCAAAUACUAACUGCCAGAGCCAAGGGUCAAGCCAGAGUCAGGGUCAGAAGUUGGAGGCUGAGGUCAGAUCCAGGACUGGUAACUGAUGACUGGAGGCAAGGUAAAAGGGCAGGAAGUGGAGGAGAGGCAAGGAUCAAGCACAGAGCAGGAGCAUGACAGCAGCAAGAGCUAAGGCAGGGUGAGGAAGGAGCCGAGCAAGAAUCAGGAACAAGGGUGGAUGCAGGAGGCGGGCACAAGCAGGCUCCCAUACAGCAACAACAGGAAAACACCUUGUCACUCAGACGAACUUCCUGUGCCUCCUUCUGGCUUAAAUAGCGUGGCUGGACCAUCAGUGGAGC